GGGGGGGGGGGGGGGGGGGGGGGGGGGGGGGGGGGGGGGGGGGGGGGCGGGGAGGUUGGGGGUGGGAGGUGAGCGGCGGGGGGGGGAGUGGCACGGGGGGAACCUGGCUGUGAGAGUGGGAGAAGUGCGGGAAAGCGGGGCUAAUACCGGAUACGAUGUUGAAGCGCAUGGGUCAAAAGUGAAAGACGGUCUUGCUGCGACUUAGAGAUGGAUCCGCGCUGCAUUAGCUAGUUGGUAAGGUAACGGCUUACCAAGGCAACGAUGCAUAGCCGACCUGAGAGGGUGAUCGGCCACACUGGAACUGAGACACGGUCCAGACUCCUACGGGAGGCAGCAGUAGGGAAUCUUCCGCAAUGGGCGAAAGCCUGACGGAGCAACGCCGCGUGAGUGAUGAAGGUCUUCGGAUCGUAAAACUCUGUUAUUAGGGAAGAACAUAUGUGUAAGUAACUGUGCACAUCUUGACGGUACCUAAUCAGAAAGCCACGGCUAACUACGUG
rnacentral:rRNA from 1 species